UACAGAGGGUGCGAGCGUUGUUCGGAAUUAUUGGGCGUAAAGGGCGCGUAGGCGGUGCGGUAAGUCACCUGUGAAAUCUCCUGGCUCAACUGGGAGCUUGCAGGCGAAACUGCCGUGCUGGAGUGUGGGAGAGGUGCGUGGAAUUCCUGGUGUAGCGGUGAAAUGCGUAGAUAUCAGGAGGAACACCUGUGGCGAAAGCGGCGCACUGGACCACAACUGACGCUGAGGCGCGAAAGCGUGGGGAGCAAACGGG
rnacentral:rRNA from 1 species